CGUUACAGCAUAAAACGUAUCCUUAUGAUCGUACUUAUCUGUACUGGUCAAAGGUUGGCUUCCGCUACACGUGAAUCGAAAUCCAAUGAGAUUCAAGCAAAACUCUGAGGUUUAUUCUUUCUUAUGAUGAAAAGAGUGUAGGCGAAAACAAUAGGCGUCUAUAGAGCUAUACGAAAAGGAGUUGCCAUGGAGACAUUUACAAAAUCGCUUCGUACACACGCGAAGCAGUUGGGCUCAAAGAGCAAAAAUAAAUGUUACAGAGAAUUUGUAUUUUUCGUACUACGUUACUUAAUUUAGUUACUCUGCUUAUCCAUUGGACAUUAUACAUAUUUCUUUGUACCGUACGACUGUGUCAUAAUCUCAAAGGUGUUUUCACGAAGGCAUGGGUUUGAAUUAUUUUUUCAAUAUUUGCCUACAAACGCAGUUCAGUUUUUUGUUUUCGUUUCUAAUAGAAAAUUGGCAAAAUGAAUAACCAGGCAAUACUGGGUUUGUCUUCUAUUAUUAUAAUAAAAACUUUGAUCAUUGGUGAGAUAUAGUGUUGUUCUGUACUGUGCGUGACAUCUGAUCCGUCAGGUGACAGAUACGCUAUUGUUUGCAGAUUGAAAAUGGAAAGGAAAGAAAAAAAAACCAAGCCAACACACAAAAUAAAGCUAUGAAGAAAAUAUUUUUCAUCUAGAUCUAUUGGCACUGAAAAUAAAAAACAGAACCAUUUGAUGUUCCACCGACUUUUCAUUCUCUGUCACAUGUAAAGGAAAAUAUCCACAGUUUCAGAUACUCUGUUGAUGGAAGGAACUGAACCUCUAUAAAAUGGCAACUCCUCAAGAGGGGGCACAAUGUAUGUCCUGGUUUAUUGAGACAGAAUCAGAUGUACAGACUCAACGGAACUUCAGGACAAAGUAUGGAAGAGAUCCACCAUUGUGACCUUCAGUCUGUGCAUGGCACAAAAAAAUUAUGGAGACAGAGACAGUGUUGGAUAAAGGGAGGAGCGGGCAACCAAGAAGAUUUGAGGAAAACAUCUAUUGCAUUUCAAACAUCUUCACUCAUUCACCUACAAAGUUCAUCUGCACUGCUGCCAGACAGUUGCAACUACCAUGUUCAGCUGUGCAUAAGGUCCUUCACAAGAACUUACAGUUGUACACUUACAGCCACUUGAGCCAAAAGACAAGCCAAAACGGACAGAGUUUGUGCUCAACAUGCUGGAAUGCCUUUCGGAGGAUGAAGCAUUCCUCAAGCAAGUUUGUUUCAGUGAUGAGGCAACUUUUCAUAUUUCUGGGACAUUAAACAGACACAAUGUGUGAACCUGGGGAUCUGAAAACCCCCAUAUGACUAGAGAGCUUCACCGGGAUAGUCCAUUUUUCUUCAACGAGUCAACAAUUACUGCAGAUGUUUACCUCGACCUUCUGACUGAAUAUGUGGCACCACAAUUGAUUGACUUACAACCAACUAUCAUUUUCCAACAAGAUGGUGCACCACCACAUUGGGGACUGCAUGUUUGUCGGUUCCUCAAUGAAACAUUUCUAGGCAGAUGGAUUGGGAGGGAUGGGCCAUUUCCUUGGCCACCACAUUCACCACAUAUCACUCCCUUGGACUUGUUUUUAUGGGAGAAUGUAAAAGAUAUCAUGUAUCAAACACAGAUACAGGACAUUGCUGACUUGAAGCAAAGGAUUCGUAAUGCCAUUGCCACCAUUGAUGAUGCUAUGCUACAACGAACAUGGCAAGAAAUAGAGUACUGUCUUGAUGUGCUUCAUGCAACUAAAGGUGCCCAUAUAGAAAUCUAUUAAACACUAAAAAAAAACAACUUUUGCAAACACUGAUUACAAGAAAAGAAAUGUUGUUAAAAUAUUUCAACAACUGCCAUUGUAAUAAAAUUUUGAAGUUGUAGAGGGACUUUAUGAACACCCUGUAUAACAAUUAUUAUAUAAAUGGAAAAAAUGUAUUUGGCAAAGUUCCACACAGGUUCUAGAAAACUUAAUAAAUGUUUGUAAUCAUGAAUUUGCGGGGCGUGAGUUGUACUUGGGUAGCUCAGAUGGUAGAGCACUUGCCCACGAAAGGCAAAGGUCCUGAAUUCGAGUCUCGGACCAGCACACAGUUUUAAUCUGCCAGGAAGGUUCAUAUCAGCGCACACUCGGCGGCAGAGUGAAAAUCUCAUUCUAUGAAUUAAACACUUUACAAAUGAAAGUAAGUUCAGACACUGACAACCAGCUGGUAUCACAGGUUUCUUUAGUUGAAAGAAAUUCCAUCAGGUCUUGAUUUAUUACAAUUUGGAGCAAUCAGUGCCAGUUAGAUAUUUUGUUGCCUUGUGUCACAACUUUCCUCAAACUAAAAAGGGUAGAAGAAAUGUUCACAGGUUUGUGCAACCCAUGGGAGAGCAUGACAAGGCUACAGAAAACCUAACCUGCCUAACAGUUACAGAUAGAUGCAAACUGUCCUGUCAAAGUAUAGUUAUAAAGUUUCAAGAAACAACUGUAAUUGCGGAAUCUAGGAAUAUACUAAAACCUGUAAUGUAUUGCUCCAAUAAGGUCCACAAAAGCAAGGUAAUACUAGAUACGGAGCACAUGCAUUCCAUGUAAAAGGAAGAAGCCCUAAUUUCUGGUACAAUAGGAAGUACUCUCAUCAUGCGCUGCUGGCUUGGAGAUGCAGCUGUCACUGUAAAUAGCAGUUUUAUUCCAACAUCACUUGAUGUUGAUAUUUGAGAAGCAAGUGGACCAUGCCGGCUCAGUCGAAUGUUUGGCUCUUUUAUUAGUCUGGUUUACUGGCAUCUCAAUAGUUGGUGUGAAUGUAGCGUAGUAUCUCUGGAUAUACCUCUGCUGUGCUGAUGUGAAAAACAAGCCCUGUGUGCUCGCUGAGAGUUAAAGAGAGCUGAGUCCUGGAGUACAACACUGCCCGUUGGUGGUGAGUGCUUUGAAAAACAAGACAUGCAUGCUGAUAGAGACAAUUUGUGACUUGGAUGAAUCAUUGCUUUUACAGGUGUCGGGAGUCUUCUGUGAUUGUAUCAGAUUGAUGUAGUUGCGGAUUUGGCCCUCAUUUCAUUGGCUGAAAUUUUUAGUGUUUGGACUGGACAGCAUUUCCUGUGCAAUGAGAGCCAUACAUAGACAUGGAAUCUUGAGGUCAUUUGGGACUGUCGUAUUUAAGGAGGGAACAUCUCAAGUGAGAGUUGAGAAUACGGCAUAUUCCUGUGGAAGGGGCCAUUGCUGACCUGUUGGCCAAAUUACACACUUUGUUGGACAGGCCUCUUUACAUCUUGUUGUACACCAUUGGUGAGGUGCUAUUGUGCAAAGGUGAAGACUUUGAUGUAUUUCUUGAUGGCUAAAAGAUUAUGCUAAACACCAUCAGCUAUAGAGGUAAGGCUUAUGCACCCUUUAAGACACUGAUUGUAUUAACAGCUAUUUGCUGGAUCUGUAUUGGUAAGGCCUUACAUUUAAAGUAUGUUUUCUGGACUUUGAUUUGUUCACAAUGUUUUGUGUGCUUUGUGUGUUUAUACUGAGUGUCUAAAGAUCAAGUUGAGUUUUAUCAGGCUUUCUCUUUCCCACUGAGACUAUUGUUUUAAUGCCUGCCUGUAUAUGUAGACUUCAUGUUUUCGGGUUGAUGUGAGCUUUAAAUUAGAUCAGCUAUACUUAUUUCAUUUCUGACUACUAGUGAACCUUAUUGUACAAGUUUCCUAUGGCAACGUCUUGCAUGAAGAAUUUUCCCUUGAUCUGAAGGUUAUUUUUAAAGUCCUGAUUUAUAGUAAUUAAUGUUUUAACAUAAUGCUACCUUGUGUCAUGUAAAUAUUGUUUGAUUUUUGAAGAAAAUUUGUAUUGUUCCACUUCUUCAAUUUAGAUUGUUUGCUAAGGCUAUUUGUGUCUGCCUACCUUAAUGCCAACAUUUUCUGUUGAUGGCUUGGGGAAUAUGUUUUACAGAAAUCUUUUAUUUAACUGUCAUUAAAUAUCAACUGUAAAGUUGCACCCUUUUUUAAAUAAAAAAAAAGAUUCAAUUA